rnacentral:rRNA from 1 species
CUCAGUUCGGAUUGUAGGCUGAAACUCGCCUACAUGAAGCUGGAGUUGCUAGUAAUCGCGAAUCAGCAUGUCGCGGUGAAUACGUUCCCGGGCCUUGUACACACCGCCCGUCACACCAUGAGAGUCGGGAACACCCGAAGUCCGUAGUCUAACCGCAAGGGGGCGCGGCCGAAGGUGGGUCCGGUAAUUGGGGUGAAGUCGUAACAAGGUAAC